UACGUAGGGUGCAAGCGUUUAAUCGGAAUUACUGGGCGUAAAGCGUGCGCAGGCGGUUAUGUAAGACAGAUGUGAAAUGCCCGGGCUUAACCUGGGAACUGCAUUUGUGACUGCAUGGCUAGAGUUUGGCAGAGGGGGGGUAGAAUUCCACGUGUAGCAGUGAAAUGCGUAGAGAUGUGGAGGAAUACCGAUGGGCGAAGGCAGCCCCCCUGGGAUAACACUGACGCUCAUGCACGAA
rnacentral:rRNA from 1 species